rnacentral:rRNA from 1 species
UACGUAGGGUGCGAGCGUUAAUCGGAAUUACUGGGCGUAAAGCGUGCGCAGGCGGUUUUGUAAGCCAGAUGUGAAAUCCCCGGGCUUAACCUGGGAAUGGCAUUUGGGACUGCAAGGCUUGAGUGCGGCAGAGGAGACUGGAAUUCCUGGUGUAGCAGUGAAAUGCGUAGAUAUCAGGAGGAACACCGAUGGCGAAGGCAGGUCUCUGGCUGACACUGACGCUCAUGCACGAAAGCGUGGGGAGCAAACAGGAUUAGAACUCCGUUACUGAGUCCAA